rnacentral:rRNA from 1 species
UACGGAGGGUGCGAGCGUUAAUCGGAAUUACUGGGCGUAAAGCGUGCGCAGGCGGUUUGUUAAGCGAGAUGUGAAAGCCCCGGGCUCAACCUGGGAACCGCAUUUCGAACUGGCAAACUAGAGUGUUGUAGAGGGGGGUAGAAUUCCAGGUGUAGCGGUGAAAUGCGUAGAGAUCUGGAGGAAUACCGGUGGCGAAGGCGGCCCCCUGGACAAAGACUGACGCUCAGGCACGAAAGCGUGGGGAGCAAACAGG